rnacentral:rRNA from 1 species
CCUACGGGCGGCAGCAGUGGGGAAUAUUGCACAAUGGGGGAAACCCUGAUGCAGCGACGCCGCGUGAGUGAAGAAGGAGGUCGGUAUGUAAAGCUCUAUCAGCAGGGAAGAAAAUGACGGUACAUGAGUAAGAAGCCCCGGCUAACGACGGGCCAGCAGCCGCGGUAAUACGGAGGGGGCAAGCGUUAUCCGGAUUUACUGGGUGUAAAGGGAGCGUAGACGGCAGCACCAGUCUGGAGUGAAAUGCCGGGGCUUAACCCCGGAACUGCUUUGGAAACUGUGCAGCUAGAGUGCAGGAGAGGUAAGUGGCAUUCCUCGUGUCGCGCUGAAAUGCGUAGAUAUUAGGAGGACCACCAGUGGCGCAGGCGGCUUACUGGACUGUACCUGACGUUGCGGCUCG